rnacentral:tRNA from 1 species
UCUAUAUUAAUAUAGGAUCCAUUUGAAUCAAAUAGAAUAAAACAGACAGAAUAAAACGGAAUAAGAAGAAUU